CUGAACCUAGUGUUUGGAUGACUGUAAGAGAGGAGGGGAGCAAUCUGGUUGGCGGCUGCAAGGAGGAAGGGGCUAGCACCUCCCUUCUUUCUUUCUUUAUCUGGACAUGGCGGCAAGAAACCCUAGGGUUUCUUGCUCCUGGGGCAUGGAGGAUGGCUGGAGAGAGAGGGAGAAGAGAGAGAGAGACUUGGGAGAAAGGGUCGUCUAUUACUUGGCUUUUUCAAACCUAUACAAGUACAUGUAUAUAUAAACACCGGGUCAAGUGACCCAAACN
rnacentral:lncRNA from 1 species